rnacentral:rRNA from 1 species
UUCGCCCUUAGAGUUUGAUCCUGGCUCAGGACGAACGCUGGCGGCGCGCCUAACACAUGCAAGUCGAACGAGCGAGAGAGAGCUUGCUUUCUCAAGCGAGUGGCGAACGGGUGAGUAACGCGUGAGGAACCUGCCUCAAAGAGGGGGACAACAGUUGGAAACGACUGCUAAUACCGCAUAAGCCCACGACCCGGCAUCGGGAAGAGGGAAAAGGAGCAAUCCGCUUUGAGAUGGCCUCGCGUCCGAUUAGCUAGUUGGUGGGGUAACGGCCCACCAAGGCGACGAUCGGUAGCCGGACUGAGAGGUUGAACGGCCACAUUGGGACUGAGACACGGCCCAGACUCCUACGGGAGGCAGCAGUGGGGAAUAUUGCACAAUGGGGGAAACCCUGAUGCAGCGACGCCGCGUGGAGGAAGAAGGUCUUCGGAUUGUAAACUCCUGUUGUUGAGGAAGAUAAUGACGGUACUCAACAAGGAAGUGACGGCUAACUACGUGCCAGCAGCCGCGGUAAAACGUAGGUCACAAGCGUUGUCCGGAAUUACUGGGUGUAAAGGGAGCGCAGGCGGGAAGACAAGUUGGAAGUGAAAUCCAUGGGCUCAACCCAUGAACUGCUUUCAAAACUGUUUUUCUUGAGUAGUGCAGAGGUAGGCGGAAUUCCCGGUGUAGCGGUGGAAUGCGUAGAUAUCGGGAGGAACACCAGUGGCGAAGGCGGCCUACUGGGCACCAACUGACGCUGAGGCUCGAAAGUGUGGGUAGCAAACAGGAUUAGAUACCCUGGUAGUCCACACCGUAAACGAUGAUUACUAGGUGUGGGGGAAUGACCCCUUCAGCGCGGCAGUUAACACAAUAAGUAAUCCACCUGGGGAGUACGACCGCAAGGUGGAAACUCAAAGGAAUUGACGGGGGCCCGCACAAGCAGUGGAGUAUGUGGUUUAAUUCGACGCAACGCGAAGAACCUUACCAUGUCUUGACAUCCUGCGACGGUGCUGGAAACAGUAUUUUCCUUCGGGACGCAGAGACAGGUGGUGCAUGGUUGUCGUCAGCUCGUGUCGUGAGAUGUUGGGUUAAGUCCCGCAACGAGCGCAACCCUUAUGGUCAGUUACUACGCAAGAGGACUCUGGCCAGACUGCCGUUGACAAAACGGAGGAAGGUGGGGAUGACGUCAAAUCAUCAUGCCCUUUAUGACUUGGGCUACACACGUACUACAAUGGCGUUAAACAAAGAGAAGCAAGACCGCGAGGUGGAGCAAAACUCAGAAACAACGUCCCAGUUCGGACUACAGGCUGCAACUCGCCUGCACGAAGUCGGAAUUGCUAGUAAUCGUGGAUCAGCAUGCCACGGUGAAUACGUAAGCGGGCCUUGCACACACCGCCCGUCA